rnacentral:rRNA from 1 species
AGUGAACGCUGGCGGCAGGCCUAACACAUGCAAGUCGAGCGGCCGCGCGGGGGCAACCCUGGCGGCGAGCGGCUGACGGGUGAGGAAUUCGUCGGAAUCUGCCUUUUUGUGGGGGAUAACGUAGGGAAACUUACGCUAAUACCGCAUACGUCCUACGGGCGCAAGUGGGGGACCGCAAGGCCUCACGCAGAAAGAUGAGCCGACGACCGAUUAGCUAGUUGGUGGGGUAAAGGCCCACCAAGGCGACGAUCGGUAGCUGGUCUGAGAGGAUGAUCAGCCACACUGGGACUGAGACACGGCCCAGACUCCUACGGGAGGCAGCAGUGGGGAAUAUUGGACAAUGGGCGCAAGCCUGAUCCAGCCAUGCCGCGUGUGUGAAGAAGGCCUUCGGGUUGUAAAGCACUUUUGUCCGGAAAGAAAUCCCUGGAGCUAAUACCUUCGGGGGAUGACGGUACCGGAAGAAUAAGCACCGGCUAACUUCGUG